GCAGUCGAGCGCAGGAAGCCGUCUGAACCCUUCGGGGGGACGACGGUGGAAUGAGCGGCGGACGGGUGAGUAACACGUAAAGAACCUGCCCAUAGGUCUGGGAUAACCACGAGAAAUCGGGGCUAAUACCGGAUGUGUCAUCGGACCGCAUGGUCCGCUGAUGAAAGGCGCUCCGGCGUCGCCCAUGGAUGGCUUUGCGGUGCAUUAGCUAGUUGGUGGGGUAACGGCCCACCAAGGCGACGAUGCAUAGCCGACCUGAGAGGGUGAUCGGCCACACUGGGACUGAAACACGGCCCAGACUCCUACGGGAGGCAGCAGUAGGGAAUCUUCCACAAUGGACGAAAGUCUGAUGGAGCAACGCCGCGUGAACGAUGAAGGCUUUCGGGUCGUAAAGUUCUGUUGUAAGGGAAGAACAAGUGCCGCAGGCAAUGGCGGCACCUUGACGGUACCUUGCGAGAAAGCCACGGCUAACUACGUGCCAGCAGCCGCGGUAAUACGUAGGUGGCAAGCGUUGUCCGGAAUUAUUGGGCGUAAAGCGCGCGCAGGCGGCCUCUUAAGUCUGAUGUGAAAGCCCCCGGCUCAACCGGGGAGGGCCAUUGGAAACUGGGAGGCUUGAGUAUAGGAGAGAAGAGUGGAAUUUCACGUGUAGCGGUGAAAUGCGUAGAGAUGUGGAGGAACACCAGUGGCGAAGGCGACUCUUUGGCCUAUAACUGACGCUGAAGCGCGAAAGCGUGGGGAGCAAACAGGAUUAGAUACCCUGGUAGUCCACGCCGUAAACGAUGAGUGCUAGGUGUUGGAGGGUUUCCGCCCUUCAGUGCUGAAGCUAACGCAUUAAGCACUCCGCCUGGGG
rnacentral:rRNA from 1 species